CUACGGGAGGCUGCAGUGGGGAAUAUUGCACAAUGGGCGCAAGCCUGAUGCAGCCAUGCCGCGUGUAUGAAGAAGGCCUUCGGGUUGUAAAGUACUUUCAGCGGGGAGGAAGGGAGUAAAGUUAAUACCUUUGCUCAUUGACGUUACCCGCAGAAGAAGCACCGGCUAACUCCGUGCCAGCAGCCGCGGUAAUACGGAGGGUGCAAGCGUUAAUCGGAAUUACUGGGCGUAAAGCGCACGCAGGCGGUUUGUUAAGUCAGAUGUGAAUUCCCCGGGCUCAACCUGGGAACUGCAUCUGAUACUGGCAGGCUUUAGUCUCGUAGAGGGGGGUAGAAUUCCAGGUGUAGCGGUGAAAUGCGUAGAGAUCUGGAGGAAUACCGGUGGCGAAGGCGGCCCCCUGGACGAAGACUGACGCUCAGGUGCGAAAGCGUGGGGAGCAAACAGGAUUAGAUACCCCGGUAGUC
rnacentral:rRNA from 1 species